AGAGUUUGAUCAUGGCUCAGAGCGAACGCUGGCGGCGUGCUUAACACAUGCAAGUCGAGUGCGCAGUUUUGUGUAGCAAUACACAGAAUGGGCGCACGGCGCACGGGUGCGUAACACGUGGGUAAUUUGCCCUCAAGUGGGGGAUAACCCGCCGAAAGGCGGGCUAAUACCGCAUAACACUCCCAGGACUACGGUCUAGGGAUUCAAAGCCCGCAAGGGCGCUAGGGGAGAAACCCGCGGCCGAUUAGCUUGUUGGCGAGGUAACGGCUCACCAAGGCAAUGAUCGGUAGCUGGUCUGAGAGGAUGGCCGGCCACACUGGAACUGAGAUACGGUCCAGACUCCUACGGGAGGCAGCAGUGGGGAAUCUUGCGCAAUGGGCGAAGGCCUGACGCAGCGACGCCGCGUGGGGGACGAAGCUUCUCGGAGUGUAAACCCCUUUCGAUCCGGACGAAUAUCCCGCAAGGGAUUGACGGUACGGGAUGAAGAAGCCCCGGCUAACUACGUGCCAGCAGCCGCGGUAAGACGUAGGGGGCCAGCGUUGCUCGGAAUAACUGGGCGUAAAGGGUCUGUAGGCGGUGCGGCAAGUCGGGAGUGAAAUCUCUGGGCUUAACUCAGAGGCUGCUUCCGAAACUGCCGUGCUGGAGUGCGGGAGAGGUGAGUGGAAUUGCAGGUGUAGCGGUGAAAUGCGUAGAUAUCUGCAGGAACACCAGAGGCGAAGGCGGCUCACUGGACCGCAACUGACGCUGAGAGACGAAAGCUAGGGGAGCAAACAGGAUUAGAUACCCUGGUAGUCCUAGCCCUAAACGAUCAGGACUUGGCGUGGGCCCCGUACGGGGCUCGUGUCGGAGCUAACGUGUUAAGUCCUGCGCCUGGGGAGUACGGUCGCAAGGCUGAAACUCAAAGGAAUUGACGGGGGCCCGCACAAGCGGUGGAACAUGUGGUUCAAUUCGACGCAACGCGAAGAACCUUACCUGGGCUUGAACCGCACAGGACCAUCUUUGGAAACAGAGACUUCCCGCAAGGGACCUGUGUAGAGGUGCUGCAUGGCUGUCGUCAGCUCGUGCCGUGAGGUGUUGGGUUAAGUCCCGCAACGAGCGCAACCCUUACCCUUAGUUGCUACCCGCAAGGGAGAACUCUAAGGGGACUGCUCCGGAUAACGGAGAGGAAGGCGGGGAUGACGUCAAGUCAGCAUGGCCUUUAUGUCCAGGGCUACACACGUGUUACAAUGCAUGCUACAAAGCGCUGCCAACCCGCGAGGGGGAGCCAAUCGCAAAAAAGCAUGCUCAGUUCGGAUUGCAGUCUGCAACUCGACUGCAUGAAGCCGGAAUCGCUAGUAAUGGCGCAUCAGCACGGCGCCGUGAAUACGUUCCCGGGCCUUGUACACACCGCCCGUC
rnacentral:rRNA from 1 species